rnacentral:rRNA from 1 species
UACGUAGGGUGCGAGCGUUGCCCGGAUUUAUUGGGCGUAAAGGGCGCGUAGGCGGCUCUGCACGUCCGUUGUGAAAUCGCCCGGCUCAACUGGGCGGGGUCAGCGGGUACGGCAGAGCUUGAGCAAGCUAGGGGGCAAUGGAAUUCCCGGUGUAGUGGUGGAAUGCGUAGAUAUCGGGAGGAACACCAGUGGCGAAGGCGGUUGCCUGGGGCUUUGCUGACGCUGAUGCGCGAAAGCGUGGGGAGCGAUCCGG